rnacentral:rRNA from 1 species
AGUCGACGGGCUCUUCGGAGCAAGUGGCGGACGGGUGAGUAACGCGUGAGAAUGUGCCUUCAGGAUGGGGAUAACAAUAGGAAACUAAUGCUAAGACCCAAUGUGCCUUAAGAGGUGAAAAAUGAAAAUUGCCUGAAGAGGAGCUCGCGUCUGAUUAGCUAGUUGGGGUGGUAAAAGCGCACCAAGGCAACGAUCAGUAGCUGGUCUGAGAGGAUGAGCAGCCACACUGGGACUGAGACACGGCCCAGACUCCUACGGGAGGCAGCAGUGGGGAAUUUUCCGCAAUGGGCGAAAGCCUGACGGAGCAAUACCGCGUGAGGGAGGAAGGCUCUUGGGUUGUAAACCUCAAAACUUAGGGAAGAAAAAAAUGACGGUACCUAAUCUAAGCAUCGGCUAACUCCGUGCCAGCAGCCGCGGUAAUACG